UUAAGCGACUAAGCGUACACGGUGGAUGCCCUGGCAGUCAGAGGCGAUGAAGGACGUGCUAAUCUGCGAUAAGCGUCGGUAAGGUGAUAUGAACCGUUAUAACCGGCGAUUUCCGAAUGGGGAAACCCAGUGUGUUUCGACACACUAUCAUUAACUGAAUCCAUAGGUUAAUGAGGCGAACCGGGGGAACUGAAACAUCUAAGUACCCCGAGGAAAAGAAAUCAACCGAGAUUCCCCCAGUAGCGGCGAGCGAACGGGGAGCAGCCCAGAGCCUGAAUCAGUGUGUGUGUUAGUGGAAGCGUCUGGAAAGGCGCGCGAUACAGGGUGACAGCCCCGUACACAAAAAUGCACAUGCUGUGAGCUCGAUGAGUAGGGCGGGACACGUGGUAUCCUGUCUGAAUAUGGGGGGACCAUCCUCCAAGGCUAAAUACUCCUGACUGACCGAUAGUGAACCAGUACCGUGAGGGAAAGGCGAAAAGAACCCCGGCGAGGGGAGUGAAAAAGAACCUGAAACCGUGUACGUACAAGCAGUGGGAGCACGCUUAGGCGUGUGACUGCGUACCUUUUGUAUAAUGGGUCAGCGACUUAUAUUCUGUAGCAAGGUUAACCGAAUAGGGGAGCCGAAGGGAAACCGAGUCUUAACUGGGCGUUAAGUUGCAGGGUAUAGACCCGAAACCCGGUGAUCUAGCCAUGGGCAGGUUGAAGGUUGGGUAACACUAACUGGAGGACCGAACCGACUAAUGUUGAAAAAUUAGCGGAUGACUUGUGGCUGGGGGUGAAAGGCCAAUCAAACCGGGAGAUAGCUGGUUCUCCCCGAAAGCUAUUUAGGUAGCGCCUCGUGAAUUCAUCUCCGGGGGUAGAGCACUGUUUCGGCAAGGGGGUCAUCCCGACUUACCAACCCGAUGCAAACUGCGAAUACCGGAGAAUGUUAUCACGGGAGACACACGGCGGGUGCUAACGUCCGUCGUGAAGAGGGAAACAACCCAGACCGCCAGCUAAGGUCCCAAAGUCAUGGUUAAGUGGGAAACGAUGUGGGAAGGCCCAGACAGCCAGGAUGUUGGCUUAGAAGCAGCCAUCAUUUAAAGAAAGCGUAAUAGCUCACUGGUCGAGUCGGCCUGCGCGGAAGAUGUAACGGGGCUAAACCAUGCACCGAAGCUGCGGCAGCGACGCUUAUGCGUUGUUGGGUAGGGGAGCGUUCUGUAAGCCUGCGAAGGUGUGCUGUGAGGCAUGCUGGAGGUAUCAGAAGUGCGAAUGCUGACAUAAGUAACGAUAAAGCGGGUGAAAAGCCCGCUCGCCGGAAGACCAAGGGUUCCUGUCCAACGUUAAUCGGGGCAGGGUGAGUCGACCCCUAAGGCGAGGCCGAAAGGCGUAGUCGAUGGGAAACAGGUUAAUAUUCCUGUACUUGGUGUUACUGCGAAGGGGGGACGGAGAAGGCUAUGUUGGCCGGGCGACGGUUGUCCCGGUUUAAGCGUGUAGGCUGGUUUUCCAGGCAAAUCCGGAAAAUCAAGGCUGAGGCGUGAUGACGAGGCACUACGGUGCUGAAGCAACAAAUGCCCUGCUUCCAGGAAAAGCCUCUAAGCAUCAGGUAACAUCAAAUCGUACCCCAAACCGACACAGGUGGUCAGGUAGAGAAUACCAAGGCGCUUGAGAGAACUCGGGUGAAGGAACUAGGCAAAAUGGUGCCGUAACUUCGGGAGAAGGCACGCUGAUAUGUAGGUGAGGUCCCUCGCGGAUGGAGCUGAAAUCAGUCGAAGAUACCAGCUGGCUGCAACUGUUUAUUAAAAACACAGCACUGUGCAAACACGAAAGUGGACGUAUACGGUGUGACGCCUGCCCGGUGCCGGAAGGUUAAUUGAUGGGGUUAGCGCAAGCGAAGCUCUUGAUCGAAGCCCCGGUAAACGGCGGCCGUAACUAUAACGGUCCUAAGGUAGCGAAAUUCCUUGUCGGGUAAGUUCCGACCUGCACGAAUGGCGUAAUGAUGGCCAGGCUGUCUCCACCCGAGACUCAGUGAAAUUGAACUCGCUGUGAAGAUGCAGUGUACCCGCGGCAAGACGGAAAGACCCCGUGAACCUUUACUAUAGCUUGACACUGAACAUUGAGCCUUGAUGUGUAGGAUAGGUGGGAGGCUUUGAAGUGUGGACGCCAGUCUGCAUGGAGCCGACCUUGAAAUACCACCCUUUAAUGUUUGAUGUUCUAACGUUGACCCGUAAUCCGGGUUGCGGACAGUGUCUGGUGGGUAGUUUGACUGGGGCGGUCUCCUCCUAAAGAGUAACGGAGGAGCACGAAGGUUGGCUAAUCCUGGUCGGACAUCAGGAGGUUAGUGCAAUGGCAUAAGCCAGCUUGACUGCGAGCGUGACGGCGCGAGCAGGUGCGAAAGCAGGUCAUAGUGAUCCGGUGGUUCUGAAUGGAAGGGCCAUCGCUCAACGGAUAAAAGGUACUCCGGGGAUAACAGGCUGAUACCGCCCAAGAGUUCAUAUCGACGGCGGUGUUUGGCACCUCGAUGUCGGCUCAUCACAUCCUGGGGCUGAAGUAGGUCCCAAGGGUAUGGCUGUUCGCCAUUUAAAGUGGUACGCGAGCUGGGUUUAGAACGUCGUGAGACAGUUCGGUCCCUAUCUGCCGUGGGCGCUGGAGAACUGAGGGGGGCUGCUCCUAGUACGAGAGGACCGGAGUGGACGCAUCACUGGUGUUCGGGUUGUCAUGCCAAUGGCACUGCCCGGUAGCUAAAUGCGGAAGAGAUAAGUGCUGAAAGCAUCUAAGCACGAAACUUGCCCCGAGAUGAGUUCUCCCUGACUCCUUGAGAGUCCUGAAGGAACGUUGAAGACGACGACGUUGAUAGGCCGGGUGUGUAAGCGCAGCGAUGCGUUGAGCUAACCGGUACUAAUGAACCGUGAGGCUUAACCUU
rnacentral:rRNA from 9 species